UGGGGAAUAUUGGACAAUGGGCGAAAGCCUGAUCCAGCCAUGCCGCGUGUGUGAAGAAGGCCUUUUGGUUGUAAAGCACUUUAAGUGGGGAGGAAAAGCUUGUGGUUAAUACCCAUAAGCCCUGACGUUACCCACAGAAUAAGCACCGGCUAACUCUGUGCCAGCAGCCGCGGUAAUACAGAGGGUGCAAGCGUUAAUCGGAAUUACUGGGCGUAAAGCGCGCGUAGGUGGUUAUUUAAGUCAGAUGUGAAAGCCCCGGGCUUAACCUGGGAACUGCAUCUGAUACUGGAUAACUAGAGUAGGUGAGAGGGGAGUAGAAUUCCAGGUGUAGCGGUGAAAUGCGUAGAGAUCUGGAGGAAUACCGAUGGCGAAGGCGGCUCCCUGGCAUCAUACUGACACUGAGGUGCGAAAGCGUGGGUAGCAAACAGGAUUAGAUACCCUGGUAGUCCACGCCGUAAACGAUGUCUACCAGUCGUUGGGUCUUUUAAAGACUUAGUGACGCAGUUAACGCAAUAAGUAGACCGCCUGGGGAGUACGGCCGCAAGGUUA
rnacentral:rRNA from 1 species